UAGGUUCGAGGUGGAAGCAUGGUGACAUGUGGAGCUGACGAAUACUAAUCGAUCGAAGACUUAAUCAA
rnacentral:rRNA from 2 species